AACGAACGCUGGCGGCAUGCCUAACACAUGCAAGUCGAACGAGACCUUCGGGUCUAGUGGCGCACGGGUGCGUAACGCGUGGGAACCUGCCCUUAGGUUCGGAAUAACUCCCCGAAAGGGGUGCUAAUACCGGAUAAUGUCUUCGGACCAAAGAUUUAUCGCCUUUGGAUGGGCCCGCGUUGGAUUAGCUAGUUGGUAGGGUAAAAGCCUACCAAGGCGACGAUCCAUAGCUGGUCUGAGAGGAUGAUCAGCCACACUGGGACUGAGACACGGCCCAGACUCCUACGGGAGGCAGCAGUGGGGAAUAUUGGACAAUGGGCGAAAGCCUGAUCCAGCAAUGCCGCGUGAGUGAUGAAGGCCGUAGGGUUGUAAAGCUCUUUUAACCGGGAUGAUAAUGACAGUACCGGGAGAAUAAGCUCCGGCUAACUCCGUG
rnacentral:rRNA from 1 species